GACGAACGCUGGCGGCGUGCCUAAUACAUGCAAGUCGUGCGGACCUUUUAAAAGCUUGCUUUUAAAAGGUUAGCGGCGGACGGGUGAGUAACACGUGGGCAACCUGCCUGUAAGACUGGGAUAACGCCGGGAAACCGGGGCUAAUACCAGAUCGUUUUUUCCUCCGCAUGGAGGAAAAGGGAAAGGCGGCUUCGGCUGCCACUUACAAAUGGGCCCGCGGCGCAUUAGCUAGUUGGCGGGGUAACGGCCCACCAAGGCAACGAUGCGUAGCCGACCUGAGAGGGUGAUCGGCCACAAUGGGACUGAGACACGGCCCAAACUCCUACGGGAGGCAGCAGUAGGGAACCUUCCGCAAUGGACGAAAGUCUGACGGAGCAACGCCGCGUGAGGGAAGAAGGCCUUCGGGUCGUAAAACUCUGUUGCCGGGGAAGAACAAGUGCCGUUCGAACAGGGCGGCGCCUUGACGGUACCCGGACAGAAAGCCACGGCUAACUACGUG
rnacentral:rRNA from 1 species